GGACGUGAGGGUGAUCUGGCUGCGACAUCUGUCACCCCAAUGAUCGUCAGGGUUGAUUCAGCUGAUCUGGCUGGCUAGGUGGGUGUUCCCUUCCUCCCUCAACUCUCCAUGUGCAUCUCUCCCGAAGUUGUCCACUUGGUCGAAAAGGACAACCACCCUCGAUACAGGAGGACCAUUCCUCGGUCCAGGGUAUAUGAGUAGCUGCACUCCCUUGCUAGAACCUCCAAACACUCUCUCAGGAGAAACUUCUGAGCAGGAGGCUAAGAUAUUGUUAUUCAAGCAGACUUACAUCAGCAAAAGACUCUGGCUUUAGGUCUUCCAUGC
rnacentral:snRNA from 1 species